rfam:Erysipelothrix larvae strain LV19 chromosome, complete genome.
CAUUUGAGCCUACGAAAAGAAACUUGAUAUAAGGCUAAAUGGGGGAUGAGGUUGAUAAACAAACCGAAGUCCAAAAGGUAAACGUAAACCCAAGACAGUAAAUCAAGAGGUUAUGAAUG